UAUGGAAACCGUUGGAAAAAGUAAGUGGAAGUUUUUCCCAUCAGUUUAGCACUGUAGCAAAAAUACUGUUGGGAUAGUUUUUGCCAACGGUGAAUAACCGUUGGCAAUACUAAAUAGAUUUUGUUUUUAAAAAAAAAAUAGUUUAUCCCAACGUUUUUUAACUGUUGGGAAUAGUAAGUACACACAACGGUUUAUAACUAUGGAGAAUAGUUAUUAUACCCAACACUUAUUAACUGUUGGAAAAGAUGUAUUUUAUGUCUAAUUAAUAAUUUAUUGAAAAAAAAAAUUCGGGACUGAAAUUUGGGGCUAAGGCUGAAAAUUUCAGACCAAUACCCAAAAUCUCAUCUCUCUAUCUCUCGAGAAUAACCCUAAAUUUCAGACCAAGACUCUCUCCGACGAGCUGCUCACCACGAGCUUGGGAGACGACGUCAAGGACCUGCGGCCUCCGCUUCUCCCGCUUCUCCCGCGUCUCUUCCUCCACCAGCGUCAACGACGGACGACAGACCAGCACCAAAUAGGUGAUGCGGUACACUACAACCUUAGUUUUGAUUGAUCUUUGGUGUUUGAAGAACGCAAAGCAAUUUUAUUGGAUUAGUUAGUGUUCUUGAGAGAUACUCCCUUGAGAAAAGAAACUGACGGUCUCUAGCAAUAAGCUUCACUGAGUACAGAUGUCCUGAGCAACCAGAUGGAAUCCAGUGUGUUUAAAAGGAACAUAUCAUCCUCUUACACUAACAAAGAAAUCAAUGAAAUGCGUGACGAAUGGGCAAAGUGUGUCAUGCAGAUGAUAGCAGCAAGCAAAUGACUAAUAACAUAGAGUAUGAUGACCAAUGAUCGCUCAUGGACGAUCCCCAUGUGAUCUAAGAAAAUGAUUGAUAGGUUUGACAUCGAUCUUAGUUACUAUUGUCUUGCUUUUUUAGUUUUUAGGAAGUGAUCUCCAGCUAUUUGAUUAAAGUCCCAAGUGACUACUUGGAGACUUAUUUUGUUCUUAGUAUACAUAUUUUUAGAUGUUCAGAAGAUAUUCUACAAAAGAUUGCAAAAUGUAAAAACUUAAUUGGAUUUCCUUCUUUUGUAUUGCAUUACUAAACUUUGAUGGCAUAUUAUGAUUUUCAUGAA